CUGCUUCAUCUCAUUAAACUGGUUAUAGUGUCUGGAGUACUCUGGUACCAUCAUUUAUUUCAGCAUUAAACAGUUUUUAAACUUUUAAUGUUUUAAUGCUAAACAAGAGUCCCCGGCAAUCCAUCCCCUCUGUGCUGCUUUGGCAAAUAAGGAAGUAUUAGCCUGAGCAGCAAUAGGCAGCUGUGAUUGGCUGAGAGUGUCAGCUGACUGCUUUUAGCCUGUCAGAGUUCCAACUGACCGUAUGAAUGGGUAUGACAACAAGGAAGUGUGUAAUCUCUGCCUUGGCUACACAUACUGAAGGGGCCGGACUGUGGGUGGCCAGGGACUCUUAUUUUGUGGCAUACUGCAUGAACAUGGUGCAACACUGAAUGGAGGGACAGUGCCAGGGCAUUCCAGGCACUAUAACCAAUUCAAAGAGAUGAAAUGUUUAUAGUGACUACAGUGUCCCUUUAAGCCCCCCUCCGUCCCCAUUUUAUGACAUUCCAAAAUUUUCAACCUGAAAACUAUGCUUAACAAUUAAUUUAUACCAUGUUUAUCAGCCUUUCUAU